GACGAACGCUGGCGGCGUGCUUAACACAUGCAAGUCGAACGGUGAAAGCGGAGCUUGCUCCGCUGGAUCAGUGGCGAACGGGUGAGUAAAACGUGGGCAACCUGCCCUUCACUUCGGGAUAACUCCGGGAAACCGGGGCAAAUACCGGAUAUGUGCUCUGCGGGCAUCCGGGGAGGUGGAACGUUUUUCGGUGAAGGAUGGGCCCGCGGCCUAUCAGCUUGUUGGGGAGGUAGUGGCUCACCAAGGCGACGACGGGUAGCCGGCCUGAGAGGGCGACCGGCCACACUGGGACUGAGACACGGCCCAGACUCCUACGGGAGGCAGCAGUGGGGAAUAUUGCGCAAUGGGCGAAAGCCUGACGCAGCAACGCCGCGUGCGGGAUGACGGCCUUCGGGUUGUAAACCGCUUUCAGCAGGGAAGAAGCCGCAAGGUGACGGUACCUGCAGAAGAAGCACCGGCUAACUACGUGCCAGCCGCCGCCGUAA
rnacentral:rRNA from 1 species